CGCAUCUGUGCAUGCAGCAUAUCAAUAAGCGGAGGAAAAGAAACUAACAAGGAUUCCCCUAGUAACGGCGAGUGAAGCGGGAAGAGCUCAAAUUUGAAAUCUUAAAGGGUUUCCCUUUACGAAUUGUAGUUUAAAGAAGUGUUUUCUGUUGAGGUUUUGGUAAAAGUUCUUUGGAAUAGGACAUCAUAGAGGGUGAGAAUCCCGUAUUUGACCUUUACUUUCAACUUUGUGAUACACUUUCAAAGAGUCGGAUUGUUUGGGAAUGCAGUCCAAAAUGGGUGGUAAAUUUCAUCUAAAGCUAAAUAUUGGCGAGAGACCGAUAGCGAACAAGUACCGUGAGGGAAAGAUGAAAAGAACUUUGAAAAGGGAGUUAAACAGUACGUGAAAUUGUCAAAAGGGAAGCGUUUGACACCAGUGUUGUUUUUCUGAAAAUCAAUUAAAGAACUGUUUAUGCUAAGUUGUUUAGACUUUAUCAGCUAAUCUGCUUAGUUUUGAGCUUUUCUUUAAUGCACUUUUCAGUUAACAAGUCAACAUCAAUUUCUUUUGCUGUAAAAAAGCUUGAGGAAGGUGGCUUGAGAUUCGUCUUAAGUGUUUAUAGCCUCUUGCCUAUGCAGUCGGAGAGAUUGAGGUCUGCAGCGUAGAUCCUUCGGGGCUAAAUGCAUUUGUGCUAAGUUAUAGCAUUUUAUAGACAACUUGUUGACUAUGAUUUGUCUUGUAGCUUACUCGCUUAUGUUAUUUUACCUACGCUUAGGAUGUUGACGAGACUGUCGAUCUCAUCUAUACAUGACUCUGUGCAUAUCAAUAAGCGGAGGAAAAGACCGGGGCUCUUUUAAGGCAUUACGGUUUGUACACGAACCUUCUUUCGUCUAUCGUUACUCCAGGAAGCAGCCCUUCCGGCAUGAAGGAAGUUAUGGAAGAAAAGCGCUUUAACGAUGCCUAUAACGCAAUUAAGGAGUGUGUUACCGUGGACGACUUUGACUCUUCCGAGAAUAUCGUGGCUGCAAUGUCUACCUACGCUUAGGAUGUUGAAUCUGUGCGAGACUAC
rnacentral:rRNA from 1 species